rnacentral:rRNA from 1 species
GACGAACGCUGGCGGCGUGCUUAACACAUGCAAGUCGAACGGAAAGGCCCUGCUUUUGUUGUGUGCUCGAGUGGCGAACGGGUGAGUAACACGUGAGUAACCUGCCCUUGACUUUGGGAUAACUUCAGGAAACUGGGGCUAAUACCGGAUAUGAGCUCCUGCUGCAUGGUGGGGGUUGGAAAGUUUCGGCGGUUGGGUAUGGACUCGCGGCUUAUCAGCUUGUUGGUGGGGUAGUGGCUUACCAAGGCUUUGACGGGUAGCCGGCCUGAGAGGGUGACCGGCAACAUUGGGACUGAGAUACGGCCCAGACUCCUACGGGAGGCAGCAGUGGGGAAUAUUGCACAAUGGGCGGAAGCCUGAUGCAGCAACGCCGCGUGCGGGAUGAAGGCCUUCGGGUUGUAAACCGCUUUCGCCUGUGACGAAGCGUGAGUGACGGUAAUGGGUAAAGAAGCACCGGCUAACUACGUG